UGCCCAGCAACUCCUAUCCCUACCUCCUCGCGGUACUGGCCGGGGUACGAGUAACCUUAAAGAAGAUCGGGUAACCAACCCCCGGUGGGAACUUUGGUCAUACGACAGGGAAGG
rnacentral:ribozyme from 1 species